rnacentral:rRNA from 1 species
GAUGAACGCUGGCGGCGUGCCUAAUACAUGCAAGUCGAGCGAACGGACGAGAAGCUUGCUUUUCUGAUGUUAGCGGCGGACGGGUGAGUAACACGUGGAUAACCUACCUAUAAGACUGGGGUAACUUCGGGAAACCGGAGCUAAUACCGGAUAAUAUUUUGAACCGCAUGGUUCAAAAGUGAAAGACGGUCUUGCUGUCACUUAUAGAUGGAACCGCGCUGCAUUAGCUAGUUGGUAAGGUAACGGCUUACCAAGGCAACGAUGCAUAGCCGACCUGAGAGGGUGAUCGGCCACACUGGAACUGAGACACGGUCCAGACUCCUACGGGAGGCAGCAGUAGGGAAUCUUCCGCAAUGGGCGAAAGCCUGACGGAGCAACGCCGCGUGAGUGAUGAAGGUCUUCGGAUCGUAAAACUCUGUUAUUAGGGAAGAACAUAUGUGUAAGUAACUGUGCACAUCUUGACGGUACCUAAUCAGAAAGCCACGGCUAACUACGUG